GGCGCUUGGGAACGAGCCCCAGCACUCGUCUCCCUCGCCGGGGAUUGGCCCCCAGCGGGUAGGGGGCGGAUCCUCGGCGAGAGUGAGGACCACCUAUUGGUCGGUGGGAGUGGAGAAGGCGGGCACUAGGAUGAGUGAAGUUUAAAGAGGGUGGAAAAAAGAAGUUUGAAGAGUGAGCGAGGCCAAAGGGAGGGGCAGGGGAAUGGAACCGGCCACACAUCGCAGGGCCGAGAGAGGCCCUCCUUACCGCGGCUGGAGCCAAGCGAAAACUCGGACACGGAAGAGCGGAGAGAACUCCGAGGUGGAGGCGUGGCUGGAGAGCCGGGCGGAGCAGGGGGUGGAGCCCCGGAGCCUGCACGGGGCGCUUCCAGGAGAGGGUGUACUUUGGAGGGGAGACGACGAGCCGAGUCUACUGCCCGAGGUGGCGGGCUCUCCAGGAUGGCCUGUCACAACCGAUCAAUUGAUGUUUCUUGUUCGUUCACUCACACAUUCAGCAAAUGUUAUUGGACGCCCAUGAUGGAAGUCUCCUGCUGGUACAUCCCGGUGGCCAAAUCCAACCAGAAGCCAGAGGGCAAGAGAACCCUUUGCUGCAGUCCAUCUCAGUCAGUCACACAGAGAAGAGGAAACCCUGCAUCUGGAGAGAAAAGGGGGAAAUAUCCAGCACAGACAUGUGGAUUGCUCCGAUUUACCCAGAUCUGAGGCAAAGCUGGAAUAUUUUUUUCUGAAGUAUUACCUACACUAACAGAUUCCUGGAUGAGAUCUUGAUAACCUCCACAUCAUCUGCUUUCACAGCACCUCUGAGAAAUGUCUUUUCCUGCCCAGAUUGUAUCCAUUAGGAUACUUUUGGCCACAAGGAACAAAAUAUGUAAUAGCUUAAAGUAUAAGGUCAUUUAUUCUAUCUUUAACACAAGGUUCAGAUGUUAAGUAGUCCCAGGGUUAGUUCAGCACCACAAUCAUGUCACUAAGGACCCAAGUUCUUUUUGUGCCUGCUCUCUACCAUCAUAUGCAUGUUGGCUUCUAUCUCCAGGAUUAUCACCUCUUGAUUGCAAUGUGGCUGCCACAGCUCCAGAUAGGACAUCCUCAGAGGUCACUGUACAAGCAGGAAGGGAAGGAAAGGCAGUGCUGCUCCCAUUUUUAUGAAGGAGAAUAACCUUUCCCAGACAGUAACCCCCACCCCAACCAGUAGAAUCUCCCUUAUUGGCCAGAAAACGGUCACAUGCCCACUGCAGCCCAGUGGCAAAAAGAAAAUGAGAUUGCCACAGUUCAUUAAAUUGAUCAUGAGUCACCCCAAACAAAAUAGGGGUUCUGUUUGAGAGGAGAAAGAAUAGGUGUCAAGUAGGUACCCAAUAGUGUGUGCCACAUGCCUCAACCAAGAAGUUAUCUUGACUCUUGGGCAGAAAACUGCAGUGAUUAGGAUCUUGAGCUCUGGAGUCAGACUGCAAAUCCCAGUUUUUCUACUACUAGCUUUGUAAUCUUGAGAAAACUACUUAACCUUACCUAAACUCCAUUUCCUCAUCCAUGAAAGGGGCAUAAUAACAAUCUUAGCUAGGUUGUUGUGCAAACUGAAUGGAGCUAUUUGAGUCAAGAAAGCACUUAACAUAUGGUCUAGCAUAAAAGCAAACAUUCAAUAAAUUAGUUUGUGCUAGUUAUAUUUAUGACAAGGCAAAAAACAUUGUUCAUCACCUUUGUAACUCUCUAAGUAUUAAAUUCACCCAUCUUAGUAAGCCUAGGUUCCAUUUUUUAAAAAUUCUAGAAAUAAGCUGCCGAUGCCAGUGAAUUAAUUCUGGUAGGAUAUUAUUCUGGAAAUUACUGCAUAAUUAAAAGAGUCACAUUACGAGUGUCUAUCUGUAAAAUGGUACCUAAGCAAAUAAUCAAAUUGUAUCUAUGUUUAUCACUGCUUCCUAGACUUAAUAGUUGGAUAAAAAUAGUUAUGAUUUCCACUGGGGAGUAUUAAUAACUCAAACAAUAUGGAAACUGGUUUAACAAAAAGAAGGGAUACUGUUGAAUUUGAUGAUCUCCAAGGUUUCUUUGAGCUACUUCUAACCAUCCAUAAGUUAAACAUAGAUAUGUUUCAAGAUGCUGCAUACCACAGGAGUUAGGUCCCAAGAUGGCUGUAGAGAUGCCAACACAAGUAUCAUAAUGUCUAAAGGCAGAAAGGGGGGAAGUGGUUGUCUCCUUUCCCCAUUUCUUUUUCAGAAAUCAAGGAAACCUCUCCACAAAGGCUCCAGGCAAGUCUCUCCCUCCAGCUUAUUGGGCAGAACUUUCCCAAAUGCCCUUUCCUACACCGAAGGUACAAAGAGUGAUGAAAUACCCUUACCCAUUUUCACCCUCUGGUGCUCAAAAGGAGAUCCAGUGUCUUAUAAACUGCACGGCUGCACAAUAUCUGAACUUGGGGGGGGGGGGUCUCUUCUCAAAUAUGAAGAAGGAAAGACUGGGCUUUUAGACCUCAAGAUCCUUGAGAGCAGUGUCAAUCUCGGAUUCAUUUGUGCAUCCCCCAUUGGUCUGGGUACUUUGUCUUUAGUAGAGUUAUACACAUUCAUUCAAAAAACAGAGAGUACCCAUUAUAAACAGGCAUUGUUUUAGGUGUUGGUUUACGGCAAUGAACAGACUUACAAGGUCCCUCGUUUCAUGGGGAAGAAGACAGUGCAGGGGAAGAAGAAGUUUUCCUCCACCCUGUUAGGGUCCCUGGCUGGGUCUGAAAAUUCAACUGACAAAGACACAUUAACAGGAGAAAAGCACACAACUUUAUUUAAUAUAAGUUUUAUGUGACACAGGAGCCUUCAUAAAGGAAAUAAAGACCAGAAGAAAUUAUUAAACCUGAGUGGUUUUUGAUGAAGAGUUGAAAGUCAUGGAAAGAUGUGAUAGGGCAAAGAAUAUGAGCUGAGAGUAGUAAACCCAGGAAACUCAGCAAAUUCUGUUCGCUCAGAUUCUUGUUGAUAUCUCUCCAUCUUGGAUAUCUGGAUGCUCCUUUUUACUCCAGGUAUGGAGAGGGCACCUCUCCUAUGAGGGUCUUAUGAUCUGCUUCAGAGAAGAAGGGCAGGGAGAAGGUCAGACAGACUGCUUCUCCUAUUUUCUCAAACUGCUUCAGUUUAAAAUAUUCAAUACGCCAGGCUGCCAUAUUUUAGGGUAUCACAUCCUGAACUCCAUCAACAGCAAGCCCAAAGCAAGUAAAUGAUCAAGAAAAUUUCCAGUAGUAAUAGUACUGUAAUUAAAAUAGAUGAAACAGAAUGAAAUGAUGGGUAUUUAGGAGAAGACACAGGUUACAUCAGAUGGAAAUCAUGGAGCAGAUCUGCUUGCGAAGGUGACAGUUUUGCUGAGACAUGAAUGACAAGGAAGAGGGAGCCAAGUGAAGCCUGGAGACCUGAACACUCCAGGCCAACAAAGAGACCUCAGACACUGUGAAAUUUUUAGGAGAGGAGUGGUAGAAUCUGAUUGACAUUUUAGACUGAUAGUUCUGAUGGCUCCAUGGAGAAGGAAGAGGGUGACAGUGGAAUCAGGGAAGCCAGAUAAAAACCUGGAACAGGAACCCACUGAGAAAGCUCAGUGCCAUGGACCAGGGUAGAAACAAAAUGAAAAUUUAUCAAGUGCACUGUGGAAAUCAGAAAUUAUAGUUUUAAUUUCUGAGACUGAUCACAGUUAAAGAAAUAUGUUACAGUUGUAUUUAAUGAGAAGCUUUGUGAAAUGUAACUGCUUUGUUGAAAUGUCCCUUCCCAGUAAGAGGAACUUAGAAAAUAAAAAGUGGGGAAAAUAUUUAAUUAAGUUUAAAUUUAUACAGGUUCUUUCUUUUGCUGUGUUUAUUGAGUAGCACGCCUGGAGAGACGAAACGCUACGUUCAAGGUUUUUCUUUAAUCUUUUAAGAAAGUAACAUCUACUUGAAGUAUACAGUGACCUUAAAGUUUGUGAAACAACAUACUGUUCUUUUAAUCUACAGGAUGUGUUGUUUUAAGAAGUAGAAUUUGUUUCCAGACUUAUAAAGGAACUCACAAACUUUGUUUUUAAAGAGCUUCACUACCAUACAAAAUCUUUAGUUUUGUUGACUAGUUGGAAAACUUCAGGCCCUUGAGUCUUUUCACUGCAGAUUAGAUGUAAAUAAACAGUGCCUUUCAUGAAUUCUAAUACAAAGCAUGAUGUGAAGCUCCCUUUCUUCAACAGAAGGAAAAUUCUCAUUUAUUUGGCUAAACUUAGGUGAAGUGUUUCCAAACGCACACUCCCAAAUUUCACAGUAAAAAUGAUUGGAAACACACCACAUGAGCUUAAAAUAAAACACACCCCAUUCAAAGUCCGGGUACUGUGUGCCUUUCUUAACAUUUAACAAGAGUAUCUAAAGUCUAUAUUUUGCAUUCAAAAAUGGAGUGUGACCUUGUUGGAUUUGGAGUGAAGGAGAAGAGGAGCUGAAUUUUGUUCCAGAAGCAGGGCAACAUUCUAGAUAAAGUGGGUUCUGAGGAGGUGCUUCUGUGCUUUAGAACCUAAUCUUGGCACAUUUAAAUAUAUAAUAACUGUUUGCUAAGAGUUGAUCCUAGAAGUUUUCAUCACAAGAAAAAGAAAAUUGUAACUAUGUGUGGUGCUGGAUGUUAGCUAGACUUAUUGCGGUGAUCAUUUUGCAAUACAUACGCAUAUCAAAUUAUUAUGUUGUACACCUGAAACUGUUGUAUGACAAUUACAUCUCAAGUAAAUCAAUGUAAACAAAUACUGUCUGUUCACAGUUUGAUAGGCAUAAAUAGGAAAAACAGAGUAACUGAUUAUAUCAAUAGCAAACCUUCGGAACCAUUAAGACGAUCAUUACAUGGUUAAUUUUCAAGGCAUUCUUUUCAACUGUGGAGUGUUUGAGAAUGUUGAGAUUAAAAAAUUUCAAAUUGCAAGCUACUAUGGACUGAAUUGUAUCUGCCCCAAAUUUGUAUGUUGAAGCCCUAACCCCCCAGUGUGACUGUAUUUGGAGACAGGACCUAUAAGGAGGGAAUUGAGCUUAAAUAAGGUCACAAGUGUGGGGCCCUACUUCAGUAGGAUUAAUGGCCUCUUCAGAAGAGCGAUCUCUCCUCUGCUUCCCCACAGCAAGGAGGAGGCAGGCUGAAAGUCAGGAAGAGAGAAGAGAGUUCUCACCGGAAACCAACCAUGCUGACACCCUGCUCUCCGACUUCCAGUCCCUAGAACUAUGAGAAAAUUAAUUUAUUUUGUUUAAGUCACCAAUCUAUGGUAUUUUGUUAUGGCAGCAGAGCUGGCUUAGACAUAUGCAAUCACAGUGAUCCUUUAAAAAAAAAAAUAAGGGGCGCCUAGGUAGCUCAGUCCUUAAGCGUCUGCCUUUGGCUCAGGUCAUGAUCCCAGGGUCCUGGGAUCCAGCCCCACGUCCAGCUCCCUGCUCAGCGGGGAGCCUGCUUCUCCCUCUCCCUCUCCCCCUGCUUGUGUUCCCUCUC